rnacentral:rRNA from 1 species
CCUACGGGUGGCAGCAGUGAGGAAUAUUGGUCAAUGGGCGAGAGCCUGAACCAGCCAAGUCGCGUGAAGGAUGACGGCCCUACGGGUUGUAAACUUCUUUUGUCAGGGAGCAAUUGAGUCCACGUGUGUGCUUAGCGACAGUACCUGCAGAAAAAGCAUCGGCUAACUCCGUGCCAGCAGCCGCGGUAAUACGGAGGAUGCGAGCGUUAUCCGGCUUUAUUGGGUUUAAAGGGUGCGUAGGCGGAAUACCAAGUCGGCGGUAAAAAUCCGGGGCUCAACCCCGUCGUGCGGUUGAAACUGAUGUUCUGGAGUGGGCGAGAGGUAGGCGGAAUGCGUGGUGUAGCGGUGAAAUGCGUAGAUAUCACGCAGAACUCCGAUUGCGAAGGCAGCAUGCCGGAGCCCAACUGACGCUGAAGCACGAAAGCGUGGGUAUCGAACAGGAUUAGAUACCCGAGUAGUC